UACAGAGGUCCCAAGCGUUGUUCGGAUUCACUGGGCGUAAAGGGUGCGUAGGUGGCCAGGUAAGUUCGGUGUGAAAGCUCGGAGCUUAACUCCGAAAUGUCAUUGAAUACUAUCUGGCUAGAGGGUCGGAGGGGAGACUGGAAUUCUCGGUGUAGCAGUGAAAUGCGUAGAUAUCGAGAGGAACACCAGUGGCGAAGGCGAGUCUCUGGACGACUCCUGACACUGAGGCACGAAAGCUAGGGGAGCAAACGGG
rnacentral:rRNA from 1 species